GGCAGUUUGUCCGAGUGGUUAAGGAGUCAGCCUCGAAAGCUGAUGGGCUCUGCCCGCACAGGUUCAAAUCCUGUAGCUGUCG
rnacentral:tRNA from 1 species